UACGAAGGGGGCGAGCGUUGUUCGGAAUUACUGGGCGUAAAGGGCGCGUAGGUGGCCUGGCAAGCGUGCGGUGAAAGCUCGGGGCUCAACCCCGAGUCGGCCGUGCGAACUGCUAUGGCUCGAGCACUGUAGAGGCAGGCGGAAUUCCGGGUGUAGCGGUGGAAUGCGUAGAGAUCCGGAAGAACACCGGUGGCGAAGGCGGCCUGCUGGGCAGUAGCUGACACUGAGGCGCGACAGCGUGGGGGAGCAAACAGG
rnacentral:rRNA from 1 species